AUGCAUGUCUGCCACAGACUAUUUGGUCUGAUGGCGUCAGCCCUGCUGGCGGUUCCCCUUGGCAGGCUGUAUAAGAAGGGUUUUCUACGUUGGAUGUCGAGACUCGGUCUGGAGGGCCCACGAAUUCAUGCACACCGCCGCAUAUUUGUCCCAGUAGACUGCGCACUGGUGUUUCGCCAGUGGAAACAUCUGUAUUUCCUUACACAGGGCAUGCAACUUGGCACAAUUUGUGCGAGGAAAGUGGUUGCCACCGAUGCGUCUCUAGGGAGGUGGGGUUACCACCAACGAAGGGCAAUCGGUGAACGGCCAAUGGAGAUCGGAACUGUACUCUGUUCACAUCAAUGUUCUCGAACUUAUCGCAGUGUUCCUAGCGCUGGGACAUUUUCUGCCGUAUGUAACAGACACUCAUGUUCUGGUAAGGACAGACAAUACAACGGUAGUGGCCUACAUCAACAAGCAGGGAACUUUGCGCUCCCUUCAACUACACAGGCUGGCACACAAACUGAUCCUCUGGAGCAGCACCAAUCUACUCUCACUCAGGGCAAUGCAUGUGCCUGGAGUGAUGAACCACGGCGCAGAUUUACUCUCACAAGGUCACCCUCCUUAUGGAGAGUGGAGACCUCACCAGGAGGUGAUGAAACCACUCGGAACCACCACGGGUGCCCGUCAGUAGACUUGUUUGCCUCCAGAGAGAACACACAAUGUCCCCUGUUAUUCUCUCUGAACGAUCCACAGGCUCCGCUCGGGGUGGACGCAUUGGCGCACACGUGGCCACGCACACUCCUUUACGCAUUUCCCCCGUUGGUUCUGAUAACCCCCACAUUAGACAGAGUGAGGAACAAUGGUCUAAUUGCUAUUCUGGUAGCGCCGAAUUGGCCUCAGAAACAGUGGUUGGCGGAGAUAACGCAAAUGCUUUAUUCUCAGCCGCUGCGACUCCCGUUGCGCAGGAAUCCCAGGCUCGGGGGGACAUUUUUCAUCCUCACCCAGAACGUCUGGCUCUCUGGGCUUGGCCUUUGA
rnacentral:lncRNA from 1 species